GAUGAACGCUGGCGGCGUGCCUAAUACAUGCAAGUCGAACGAGCAGUUCGGGUCCUUUGGCGUACGGGUGUGUCACGCGUCGGAACAUGCCCUCAGGUUUGGCAUAACUCUCAGACUGGGGUGCUUAUGCCGGAUCGUGUCUUCUGACCAAGGAUAUAUCGAGCUUGGUUGUUCCCGCGUUGAAUUAGCUUGUUGGUAGGGUAAAAGCUUACCACGGCGACGAUUCAUAGCUGGUCUGAGAGGAUGAUCAGCCACACUGGGACUGAGAGGCGGCCGAGACUCCUACGGGAGGCAGCAGUGGGGAAUGUUGCACCGUGGGCGAAAGCCUGAUCCAGCAAGGCCGCGUGAGUGAUGAAGUCCGUAGGGUUGUAAAGCUCUUUUAACCGGGAUGAUAAUGACAGUACCGGGAGAAUAAGCUCCGGCUAACUCCGUG
rnacentral:rRNA from 1 species